rnacentral:misc_RNA from 1 species
CGAAAUGCGAUAAGUAAUGUGAAUUGCAGAAUUCAGUGAAUCAUCGAAUCUUUGAACGCACAUUGCGCCCGCCAGUAUUCUGGCGGGCAUGCCUGUCCGAGCGUCAUUUCAACCAUCAAGCCCCCCGGCUUGUGUUGGGGACCUGCGGCUGCCCGCAGGCCCUGAAAACCAGUGGCGGGCUCGCUGUCACACCGAGCGUAGUAGCAAUCACCUCGCUCAGGGCGUGCUGCGGGUUCCGGCCGUUAAACAGCCUUACAAAACCCAAGGUUGACCUCGGAUCAGGUAGGAAGACCCGCCGAACUUAAGC